CCUACGGGAGGCAGCAGUGAGGAAUAUUGGUCAAUGGGCGCGAGCCUGAACCAGCCAAGUCGCGUGAGGGAAGACGGUCCUAUGGAUUGUAAACCUCUUUUGUCGGGGAGCAAAAGACGCCACGCGUGGCGUUCCGAGAGUACCCGAAGAAAAAGCAUCGGCUAACUCCGUGCCAGCAGCCGCGGUAAUACGGAGGCUGCGAGCGUUAUCCGGAUUUAUGGGGGUUAAAGGGUGCGCAGGCGGAAGAUCAAGUCAGCGGUAAAAUUGAGAGGCUCAACCUCUUCGAGCCGUUGAAACUGGUUUUCUUGAGUGAGCGAGAAGUAUGCGGAAUGCGUGGUGUAGCGGUGAAAUGCAUAGAUAUCACGCAGAACUACGAUUGCGAAGGCAGCAUACCGGCGCUCAACUGACGCUCAUGCACGAAAGUGUGGGUAUCGAACAGGAUUAGAUACCCCAGUAGUC
rnacentral:rRNA from 1 species